UACGGAGGAUCCAGGCGUUAUCCGGAAUCAUUGGGUUUAAAGGGUCCGUAGGCGGCCUUAUAAGUCAGUGGUGAAAUCUCCCGGCUCAACCGGGAAAUGGCCAUUGAUACUGUAGGGCUUGAAUUAUUAGGAAGUAACUAGAAUAUGUAGUGUAGCGGUGAAAUGCUUAGAUAUUACAUGGAAUACCAAUUGCGAAGGCAGGUUACUACUAAUUGAUUGACGCUGAUGGACGAAAGCGUGGGUAGCGAACAGG
rnacentral:rRNA from 1 species